rnacentral:rRNA from 1 species
CGGCGGCUCGAGUGGUGGCCACUAUUAUUGGGCUUAAAGCGUCCGUAGCUGGACCGAUAAGUCUCUUGGGAAAUCCGCCGGCUUAACCGGCGGGCGUCCAGGAGAUACUGUUGGUCUAGGGACCGGGAGAGGUGAGAGGUACUCCGGGGGUAGGAGUGAAAUCCUGUAAUCCCUGGGGGACCACCGAUGGCGAAGGCAUCUCACCAGAACGGCUCCGACAGUGAGGGACGAAAGCUGGGGGAGCGAACCGGAUUAGAUACCCGAGUAGUCC